GGCAACACGCUCGGGUCCUCUUCUGCACUGUGGGAGGUUUGUUCUUUGCAAUAAAUUUUGCUACUGCUAUGCACCGCCUUAAGAGCUGUAAUACUCACAGCAAGGUUCUGCAGCUUCACUCCUGAGGCAGCGAGACCACGAACCCACCAGAAGGGAGAAACUCUGAACACAUCUGAACGUCAGAAGGAACGAACUCCAGACGUGCCACGUUAAGAGCUGUAACGUUGGUGGCUUCAUUCUUUAAGUCGGUUCAAUUUUCCCUGCUCUAAGGAGCCUUCUUGGAUUAUCUCCUUAUGACCUGUGGUUGCUCGUUUGGGUCAGAGUCGCUGUCUGAGGUCACAGAAAACGGAAAAAGAGCCAGCCCUUGCUUGGAGGAAUCUACCUUGGAUGCAGAAUGUGUAGUCCCAGGUGGAGUGAGCUCAAAGCCAAAAGAAGAGCAGGACCAACAAGGAAGAGAAUGAAGGCAGAAGUGAACGUGUAGAACGAAGCUUACAAGCCCAGAGUGGAGGACGAAAUUAACAAUGAGGAAUUCACACUCGGCAAAAAGCAAAAUAUGAAAGCCUGAUUGCGGAUUUCCUAAUGGACAAGAUUAUUUUCCUCUACAGAGAGCCUUAGGUUGCCAGAGGAACCGUCUGCAGGGCCCCAAAGCAUUUAGGAUCAGACUAUUCUGUCGACGUUAGCCUAGCCCACUGAUCUGGAGCAGGAUGUGACAUUCUCUGCUGGUGGUUUUGGCUUCAAUCCACCGAAGCCACAUGUCGAGGACUAAAAGAGGGAUCGGGCCCAUAUGUGGCUGAUUGGGCCCUAUCUUCUGGAGAGAGCUGGUACUCAUUAAGAACAGCCAAGAUUCUCAUCUUCCUGUCCCAAAGGCAGGGACCUUUCCUAGCUCUUUCAGGUCACCUGAGAUACUGGUUUGCCUCCCAAACCCUGCUGCCUCAGGAAUGCUGUGCUGCAGGGCUGUGUCUGUCAGUUUCCACCUGCAGGCUCCCUCACUCCUUCCUGCACUAAGCUAAUCGUUGCAUGUGUUACAAGGGUGGAAAUGGCACAUCUGGGCUGAAACCAGGACAGCAACAUGAACAAACUGAAAAGUCCAAAGGGACAAGCUCACCUAAAAAUUACUUGUCCCCGUACUUCCCCCACCCUUCUCCUUUCUCCCUUAAACCCAAGUUACAGAAGAACAGCUUCAAUGUGAUAAAAAUACUUGGCUUUGCCCCUUGCCUUCCAGGGAUGUUUAGAGAAAACCGCUGAGACCCUUGGAUGUUGUGUUGUCUGCUGGGAUUCUCCCAAGGGCUGCAUCCAUAGUGUGGAAAUGGAUAGGGUGCUACAAGGCUAUUUCCACAAAGCACGUGUGGUAUUUGCAUGUGAUUUCCCUAUGCACACUGUGCAACCCCUCCCCAGACCAUUUUUCAAGUUAAAAACAUUUUUAUGGCUCUCUUGGUGCAGUCACUUCUGGAUUUUUCCUCCUAUCUGAGCUGCCUUCUCCCUCGGGCACUCUCCCUGGCCCAGAUCUUUGGCGAGGGAGCCAAGUGGAGCCAGGGAAGAACCAUAGAGGAAUGCAGGACUCAGCCCCUCUAGAGUCGGCUGCUCCGAGGGUUUAGCUGCUUAUCUCGCCUUUGCCCAGGGCACUGGCUGAGAUUCUAUUUCCAAAAUUGUUCACACUAGGUGAUUACACUGUAGACUGUGGGACUCUAGCUCAAUUAAUUCACAAAAAGUCUCUUUGAUCUAGAAGUUUCUAAACUGCCUUCUAUCCGUUUCUCUUCUGCCUCUGGUCAACAUUCUUUUAAAAAUGAGUCUUGGCUGGGUGUGGUGGCUCACACCUGUAAUCCCACCGCUUUGGGAGACCAAGGUGAGCGGAUCACCUGUGGUCAGGAGUUGGAGACCAGCCUGGACAACAUGGUGAAACUCCAUCUCUACUAAAAAUACAAAAAUUAGCCGGGCGUGGUGGCGGGUGCCUGUAGUCCCAGCUACUCAGGACGCUGAGGCAGGAGAAUCACUUGAACCCGGAAGGUGGAGGUUGCAGUGAGCCGAGAUCGCACCAUUGCACUCCAACCUAAGCAGCAGAGUGAGGCUCUGUCUCAAAAACAAAACAAAACAAAAGAGUCUUGAUUCACUUAUUGCAUCUUUGCAAUAACCAUUGGAGACUGGGCUAUUUUCAGAGGAGGGAAACGGAGACAGUUUCUAAGGGCUUAAGUCAAAGUUACAUAGCUGCUUAGGGGUUUGAUUUGUCCAACUCAAAGUCUAGUGCUCUUUCUGUGCCUCAUUCUCUUCGACUGUAAAAUCGGGGUGUAAAUAGCAUGUAUUUGAUAGGGUUGUUGGGAGGGUUGAAUGCUUUAAUCGUGUGAAGUGUUUAAAACAGCCUGGCACAUACAGUGUUCCAUAAAU